CUCGGCAAGCACUUCCGGGGUGCGCGCCACGCGGCCAGGACUGCGCCCACCGCGCCUCACGCGCAAGGAGCGCUAAGGUUAACGCCUGAGGGAGGCAUCACCAGUCACAGACGCAGUUAAUAAGGUCGGAGGUCUGCCUCCUCUGCCCCCUUGAAAAGGAAGCUCUAAGAUUUCUUCCACAUUUGAGAGCCCCCACCAGCACCACCUUAAGAGGCUCUGGAGGCCAUUCCCAGGAGGAGAGAAGGAAGAAGCCAACUACCACACACUGGGAGAGAAUGACACUCUUUCCUAUCACCAGAAGUCAGACAAUCUGGAGCAGUCACGGGAAGGCUGCUUGGUGCAUGGAAGUAUUUAGCAGGGCCAGGUGCCGAGGUGAAAUCGCAGCCCUCUCUAUACAUUUCUGUAGGCCGAACUGCGUCGGAGCACCCUGGUGAUGUCGCAGUUGUGUAGAGGGCGCGAGGUUGGAAAACAGAUUGCGCAGCACGUUAUUCUACCUUUCCUGUAGAGAAGGAUUCAAAAACUUCGGGCACUGGCAUUCACAUGGAAAUAAACUUCUAAUCGCAAAUUACAGGUGCAGGACCUGGUUUUUUCCAGAGCCAGAGAGAGAGAGAGAGAGAGAGAGAGAGAGAGAGAGAGAGAGAGAGAGAGAGAGCAUGCACGGGUGCGAGAGGCUCAGAAAGAAACGCGUACGCGGAGGGAGGAUGGGAAGCCUGGCGACUCGAAGGCCGCCUCGGCCAGAACGCAGCCAGCGCGCACCCUGGGACUCCAGCCUCAGUCUUCCAGGCCGGAACCUGCAGGUCGCGCCUGGCGCUCCCCUUCUGAGGGAGCUGUGAGAAUGGCUGGAGUCGGGCUGGGCGGCCUCUUCGGAGGGCGGCCGCGGAGGACCUGGGCGCACAGCUUCUCCUCCAGGUUUUGCGCCUCAGAGCUCGGCGCCCAGGGCCGCGGCGGCCAGGCCGAGCCUCCUGCUUUCCUUGCCCGGUGAGCUCACUUCUUCCUCCCGGUACUCCGUUCCGUCCGUCCGCUGGAGCCGGCUCCGACCCGGGCCGGCGGCUAACCCGGGUCGCCGGCUAACCCGGGUCGCCUAGGGUUGCGUUGGAACUCGGGGCUUCCGGCCUUCUCAGUGGACCUCUCAUGCCCAGGCUCUUCUUGGGGAGAAGCCUGGGAAGUGAGAUUCCUCGAGCAGUAAAGAGGAAGUGGAAACCUGUGAAAUGAGAGGAUAAGACUUCUUUGUGACCAAACUCAGAGUACGGCCUGGAAGGCUGGGAAGGCCUAGGCGAUGCAAUAAAUGCCCCUUUCACCAGGACCCAGUGCCCGCAUCUCUUUUCCUUUCUUCUUGUUUCCUCCUUUCUCAUUUUAGUUCAUUUGUG
rnacentral:lncRNA from 1 species